rnacentral:rRNA from 1 species
ACUCCUACGGGGAGGCAGCAGUGGGGAAUAUUGCACAAUGGGGGGAAACCCUGAUGCAGCCAUGCCGCGUGUGUGAAGAAGGCCUUCGGGUUGUAAAGCACUUUCAGUAGGGAGGAAGGUAGUGUAGUUAACACCUGCAUUAUUUGUACGUUACCUACAGAAGAAGCACCGGCUAACUCCGUGCCAGCAGCCGCGGUAAGUACGGAGGGUGCGAGCGUUAAUCGGAAUUACGUGGGCGUAAAGCGCAUGCAGGCGGCCUGUUAAGUCAGAUGUGAAACGCCCGGGGCUUAACCGUCGGAAUUGCAUUUGAAACUGGCAGGCUAGAGUCUGUAGAGGGGUUAGAAGUUUCAGGUGUAGCGGUGAAAUGCGUAGAGAUCG